GCUGUCCGCGAUUCUGCUUCCCCGGUCAACCGUCGAAGACCACAACAAGCACCGAAACCAUUUUGUUGACUGAAGCUCCUCACCGCUUCGUGCGUCCAGCGAAGCAGCGUCCGCGAGCAGCUUCCGUCUUCAAUCUUCUCCAGCACGUCGACCCAGCGAAGCCACGAAGUCUUGGACUGCUAAAACAUUGAAGAAACUCCAGUGCACGAAGACCAAAGCUGCUGCUCGCUCAGCUCAUGUCUUCAGCUGAAGCCGCGCUCGAAUCCAGCUACCAGGCGCCCUUCGCUCGGUCAACGAAGCAGCGAGUUCUCAGCUGGACGCCUCCGUGUUGACCCUGCAGCUCACACCUGCUGUUCCAUUUUCGUGAUGCCAUCUCCAGCAGCCCAGCGAAUUCCAGGCCCAGUCGUCCGUGUAUCUUCAGCCCAAGACUAGAUUCCACGCCCAGCAAAGCCCAUCUCCAGUUGAGCUUGCAUCAGCCCAUCUGCAGAGGCAUUU
rnacentral:lncRNA from 1 species